rnacentral:lncRNA from 1 species
AUAAAUAACACUGACACUAUCGAAGUAAUAAGAAGGGUUUUAGUUUGGAGUUUUCAAAUAUGUAUUACAUUAAAAGCUGGACUUUCAGUGAUCACAUGUGGAUAAGAACAUACAGGAAGAUGGUCAGCGCAAUACGGGUUCUACUGCUCAUGUGGAUCAGUCCAAGGACAAAUCCACUCCUAUGGACACCAAAGCAAUCUUCGGGCUGUUUUGGGACAGGGUCCUCAGAUUUUGAUUUUCUGUAACCGGAGUGCCAACCAGGGGAGAUAAUCGCUCUUAAAGAUUUCUAUGCUGGCUCUAAAAAUAAAUCUAUCAACUGCCCCAGCGAAUCAACAGACUUAAACAGGAACCGCACAAAGUGUUGCACACACGCAAAAGACGACUGUCAGUUUGAAUUGCACGGACAAGCAAAGGCCUGGGGUUUUACACCAACUGUACUGGAAGAACUGACUGUAUGCUUAGAGUUGACAGGGUCACUGCAGGGUGGCCAUGUGACUUCCUUACUCACUUGACACAAACUAGUUACAUGCUUAUGAACUACUACUGCAUACCUGGUGAGUUGGUAAUAGACACAAGCAGUGUCACAUUUUGAUCACCUUUUCAACGCCCUGCACAUGUCUCUGUUUGUAACUGGGGUACUAUUCAACUGUUGUCGUGGUCGGCCUAUGGUACGAUACGUAGGGUUGAAUUGAAAAGGAAAAGUUAAUAAAUGUAAAUCUCAUCAAGAACACCAUACUGAAAAUAUGGGAAACUGAUUCAGUGGGGAGUAUCUCCGUUAUAUCACGGCGUGUCAGCUUUAUAUCAAUAGAAACCCAUGAGCACAGGUAUGGUGCCGACAAAUCAGGAACCAUUAUCAGGUCGAACCUUGUAUUUGAAGACCCCGUCAUAGGAAUCAAACCACUUAGGCGACAGGGGCACCUGUGACCACAACAUAAAGAGAAAGCCAUUGCCAAAAGGCCGAAAAGCAAUGGUCAGUGGUCAAUACAUUAUACCACAAUGCUAUGAAUUGGAAGAACGAUGUCAACACUGUACGUAACCACAUGCCCUCAUUCUUACAGUCAAUGUAUAUUGGUGGGAGCAUGGAUGUCCCGGUCGUCUAAGGCACAGCAAUUCGUUGUGCAGGAGUUGCGUCCCUUGGGCACGCCCGAAACCUUUGAUCGUGGGUCGAACCCCGAUUCGUCCCGAUAAUGUUUCUAGGUUUAUCGGCUGUAUCGCAACCAAAGAGAGCGCAUGCGUGUCCAACCGUGACAACACAGGCAACUCCAACAACAACGCGUUACAUGUUGAUAUCUAGGUCACUCAUGGCCUCAGCACCAGCUUAUGCAUCAAGAAACACUCCAGGAGGUAUUUACUUUAAUGUGUAUUUUGUGCAUACUGUAACAUAAUUUUGAUAAUCGGUUAAUUCCAUUUCGGUGCAGCUAUGACGCCACGAGUUGCUUCCCUGGCUUAUGUGCAUAGCCCUUGUUAGUUAUCUCCCCAAACGGGUUAACGGUGAAUCAAGAUGUUUAAAGGUUGCACAAAAUGUAACAGAAAUUAUAUUUUGAUUCUAUUUCGAUGACAAUUGGGCAGAGACAAGUUCAGAGAGUGAAGAACGUUGGACCAUUAUUUAUUCACAACAGUUUGUAACGGGCGUUGCACGUCAUUGAGGACAGUUAUCGCUAACCAGAUGUAUAAAUGAAUGUAUUGAAAGGAUCUCCCUAUUCGAGCAGUGAUCACACACAAUCUAGGUAAGCCUCCUGUGUAACUAUGAAGCUAUUUAGUACACAUAUGCAUGAAGCUUUUGUACUUUAAGACUCAAGUAUGCAGCCCGGUACGAUUGCUGUGAUUGCUGUUGUGGGAAUUUGCUUCCUUGGGAUAAUCUUCUUGGUUGUUCUCUACUGCGUCAAAAAGAAAAAGCUGACGAAGUUUGUAUUUCUUAAACGAGCAACGUCCCUGUGGUUCGUCAGAGAUGCGUCAGACCCCAAACCAACAUGCAGUAUUUCGGAUUAUUGUGUGUUUCUGCUCAGACAGAACCACGAGCACAACAUGGGCCACCCGAACCCGAGAUCCUUCUCAGAUAUCCAGAGAUGAAGCACAGCAUGAUGCUUCUAAAACUGCUGGUCCUGCCAAUCAUGUGAACUUGGACGCAAUGCUUGUUCCACAGAGGUGGUCGGAAUUACCUCCCCUUCGUGAGAUUCUAAACAUCCCCCCAGUUCGUAUGUCCGAGGACAGGUAAACACCCAGGUUUGAUGCCCUCCUGGGAAGUCAGAUUUCCCCUGACGUAAGGACGUCGGCUGCUCCACCGAAGCUGACCCCAAUUAUACCCAGAGCUUCCUGGUGAUGGAGGCUCAAGCUGCCUAACUUAAUUGACAGAGUGUACAGUCCAAUACACGUCUUCUUCAUCACGACCGUAUGGUUUAAACUGAAGUGCAGUAACUAGAUUUCUGUGUUUUGCAAAAUAUGACACCAACAGUCGUCAUUAGUAUACCGAUUCCCGAUGAGGCAAACUCAUAUAGUCCACGUUAAUUAAAUGUAAACGCAGUAUCACGAAUGCAUUUGUUCUGUUCUCUGUGCUAGUAUGUAACAUUUACUCCAUGGCGAGAGAGAUUCUUUAUUUCUUACAGAUGUUAUUCCGAAGAUUACAAUGAAAAUAUAUUCAAUAACACGCGGCUAUGACAAUACAGAAAGGCAUAGCAUCUUUACAAUUCCGCACAGCUUAUGAAAUUCAAAUAUCAAUACGAAGACAGAUAUCCACUUUAAGAUACAUAUCAAGAGAUGCUUUAGUUUGUAAAGAUACUAGGCGAAUUGUAGCAUGAUAGUUUCCCAGAUGUGUUGAUCCAGAUUUUUAAUAAAUUCUGUUUCAGCCCCAAAUAAGAAUGAUGACAUUUCUGUUUCGUCUGACAUUUCGAAAUCAACAAAUAUUUGAACGUCAAGUAACUCAAUGAGAGAAGAGAAUAACGCAGUUCUUUCUGAUAUAAGCGUUUCACAAUGUUAAAUAAUGUUGCUGUCAGGGUCGAAAGCAUGCUUAUUCCAGAACGUGCACCCUUUCGAAAGUUUACUGCGUAAAGAGACUUUCACACAAAGUUGUAAAGCAGGUCGAUAUUCCGGGUACAUGAUAUGUUAAUUUCGUAUGAAUUCUCUUAUAACGGGACAUGCUUGCUUUAUUUGAUACAUGUGUGGGUCAUAAUGGUUCUUAGUAUUUGCAUAAAUGAUAGUUUCAUUAACAAGAUUCCUCCAUAGUUAACGGUUUAUGUUACAUGACUGUACACUCUAGCUAUAACCCUGUACAUGUAAGACCAUUCUCCGUUUUGUUUAAACACGUUAUCGAUAAAUCAUGUCACAGGUUUCAUAUUGACAAUAUUUACGCUACAAACAUGUAAUGUUUGUCAUUCAUGUGAGUGUACAGAUGCAAUCACAGCCAUUACUGCUACGCUGUGAUUGUUUCAUAGUUUGAUACUUACAUGUGUGUCAGAAACGUUUGCGUUCUUUGAGGCAAAUCAAAGACAUAAAUAAAAUAGGGUUAUAAAAUUGCUGAAUUGCUGAAUUGCUGAAUUGCUGAAUUGCACGCACGUACGCAAGCACACAUGAACACAGCUACCCUAAUGCUUCCACUCAUUUCUUAUAAACAGCUAGUUAUGCACUAAUUAGUUAUUCACUAACUUCUGUCCUCAACCCUUAACAGAACGACCGCCUCCGUGGUCUUGUG